rfam:Felis catus isolate Cinnamon breed Abyssinian chromosome X, whole genome shotgun sequence.
GCUCAUUUGGCUAAGUGUCUGACUUCAGUUCAGGUCAUGAUCUCACGGUCCGUGGGUUCGAGCCCCACAUUGGGUU